AGUGAACGCUGGCGGUAGGCCUAACACAUGCAAGUCGAACGGCAGCACAGUAAGAGCUUGCUCUUACGGGUGGCGAGUGGCGGACGGGUGAGGAAUACAUCGGAAUCUACUUUUUCGUGGGGGAUAACGUAGGGAAACUUACGCUAAUACCGCAUACGACCUACGGGUGAAAGCAGGGGAUCUUCGGACCUUGCGCGAUUGAAUGAGCCGAUGUCGGAUUAGCUAGUUGGCGGGGUAAUGGCCCACCAAGGUGACGAUCCGUAGCUGGUCUGAGAGGAUGAUCGGCCACACUGGAACGGAGACACGGUCCAGACUCCUACGGGAGGCAGCAGUGGGGAAUAGUGGACAAUGGGCGCAAGCCUUAUCCAGCCAUACCGCGUGGGUGAAGAAGGCCUUCGGGUUGUAAAGCCCUUUUGUUGGGAAAGAAAAGCAGCAGGUUAAUACCCCGCUGUUCUGACGGUACCCAAAGAAUAAGCACCGGCUAACUUCGUG
rnacentral:rRNA from 1 species